rnacentral:sRNA from 1 species
UUAUUAUGGUACACUACUAAAGUAGAAAAGUUAUGACGGUGGCGACUUCUGAAAGUUGGUGAUGCUUAUGAAAAUAAGUACUAAAACUAGGAAAGGAGACAGCCUUUUGUCCACGUAUGAGAUACUACAACUUGUGUUAGGAACAGGAAUGUUUAUUCUUGC